ensembl:lncRNA
CCAUGGAGAACAAGAGCACCUCCUCCCAGCUGCCCACUGCACUGAGGCUAGGUAACACGGUCACCUCCUCCCAGCUGCCCACUGCACUGAGGCUAGGUAACACGGUCACCUCCUCCCAGCUGCCCACUGCACUGAGGCUAGGUAACACGGUCACCUCCUCCCAGCUGCCCACUGCACUGAGGCUAGGUAACACGGUCACCACCGACAAAUCCGUGAUAAUCGAAAACUUCAACAAGCAUUUCUCAACGGCUGGCCAUGCCUUCCUCCUGGCUACUCCAACUUCGGCCAACAGCUCCGCCCCCCCCC